rnacentral:lncRNA from 1 species
GAACUCAUUCCUUUUGUAACUAUCAUGGGCCCACAUGGCCAAGACUCAUAAUGUACAACUACAAGUGGGAAAUACUGUAUCAUUAAACUAUCAUUCUCAAAACACGAAUACAUAUGGGCCGUUAAGGCCUCUAACAUACUGUACAAACUGAACCUCUAUCUAUAAAACCUCUAAGAUUAUUCGACAUAAAUGGAAUAGGGCACUGGCCUACCCAUAAAUCUGUAGUAAAACUGUAAUAAGAUGACUCAUAGACUCGGCUGCACUCCGAAUGAGGUGGAGUCUUACCGAUCUUUGCUGAAUGCCAAUCUCGU